rnacentral:piRNA from 1 species
UGCUGCUCUGAACACAGGCUUGUG